UAUAGUAGCAGAACCAGCGAAAUCUCUCGAAAUCAAAUUAUCUUGCUGACUUCGCCUUUAAUAAACAAGCUACAUAUGUAUGUAUUUAUGUAUGUUGUAUGUGCAGGACGCUUUCUAGAGGGAAAGAAAUUUCGGUUGUUCUUGCGCGAGAAAAUGCAUGUAUAAUACAUAUGUAUGUAUAUACAUUAGGGUGGCACAAAAAAAGUAUUUUUUAUGGAAAGAAGCAAAAAAACGAAUUUGUUCUAAUGCCAAAAAAGGAAAAACGAAUUCUUUUCUCGAAAAUUUUACUGUUAAAGGGUAGUUUCCAGCUCUCAAGACAAACGAAAAAAUUCAUAUAAAAUGACGCACAAGAAAUGGAAAAGAAAUUUUUGUUUUAUCAAAAUUUCUUAAGUCAGUUUGAAGCUCCCAAGAAAAAAAGGCUCGUAUAUUUAUUUCAUCAAGAAAAUUUACAGCUUUUUCAAGUAACAGAAAUAUUGAAAAUUAUUUCUUUUGAUUUUUCUUGAGAGCUGGAUUCCAGCUUAACACGUUCCACUGAUCAAUUUUCGAAAAAUCAAGAUCAUUAGCCAGGUUUUUAAAAAGGUUAGCGUUAAACUAUGUAUUAGGAUUUAAAAAGGAUUGUUCUUAGUAAUUUGGCAUAUAUUACUUUAAAUAAUGAGCACCCGGACCCCGCACAUUAAUGCCCCAAAUUUCACAGAAGGGGAAACUUUGUGGAAGUGCUGUAUGGGAGCUCAUAAAAUUUAAAGUCAUAUGGGACAAAUUACUUGGAGAGAGUCUUUUAAGUCCCGGUAGUUUAUGUUAACUUUUUUAAAA